AAAUCACACUCAGCACUUGGACCUGAUCCCCACGUGUGAGAACUGCUGUGUUUGUCCACUGCCAGGUUACAAAACAACGCAACAAAAUGGCCAGAUUUAAAAAGGGAAGGAAAAAUGCAAGAAAAGAUGUGUGGAUGGAUGCAGGAGGCCUCAAAGCUCUAAUCUCCAAAUUGCAGGCUGGGGACAUUUUAAAUAAAGAUCAGUCGUACUCCUCUGCAGUAUGGCCAGCACUGUCGAUUGCUGUUUUUGGGCAGAAUACAAAAAACAAUCGGCACUGGUUGUGGACAAUAUGGACAAAAAACCGGAGAUGUUUAAGAGAUCAUUUAAAUAUACAGAUGGAUUCAGACAUGCCAGUGAGAGACACAGAGCCACUCGGACCAGUUAGUAAGAAAGUAGGACGGGAGCCACACACGCUAAGACAUGGGACUCGGUGCCUGCAGCCAGGGGAUGAUGCAGAGGAUCAAGGCACAUCUAAGAGUAAGGCAGAGGGUCCAGAUGAGGACAGAGCUGAGAGAGAUCCAUAUCAAGGAACACCAGAGAGUGAAACUGAGGGUCCAGAUCAAGGUCCAUGAGGUGAAAUGGAACCUGGGAGUUUACAAAGCACAAGAAAAUAAUUAAUGUGGGCCUAUAGGCUGUAUUUUGACUGAAAGGUUUUAACUCUCCUUUUGUUGCAAAAGAAUUGGACACUAUGAGCAGAUACAAGAAAGGCAAAAAAAUAAUAAUUACCAGAAAAGAUGUGUGGACAGCAGCAGGAGGCAUGAAAGCUGUCGUCACCCAACGGCAGGCAGCGGAUAUUUAAAACCCGAGACCAAUCGUACUCCUCUGCAGUAUGGUCAGAACUGGCUAUAACUUUGUUUGGACACAAUACAAAAAACAACCGUCACUGGUUGUGGACUGUUUGGACGUACAAUCGCAGAUGUGUAAGGGACCAGUUUAUUAUGGAGAUGGAGUCAGGACCUCAACAGCUACAGGCUGGUGGCACUGACGUCACAUCUGAUGAAGAUGCUGGAGAGGCUGGUCCUUACACAUCUCCGCCCUCUGGUGAGCCCAGCAAUGGAUCCUCUUCAGUUUGCCUCACCAACCAAGUACAGUAUGUGAGGGCAUAAUAAUGGGCAAAAACUUCACCUGCAAAACUGCAACAAUUAGUGUCAUUAUUUCCCAAAAAAGUCUAAUUAGUAAAUAAAGCAAUGUAAAACAGCAUUGUCAGUUAAAUAAAGAUUCAAGAGAA